UAAAAUGGACUACUGCAAACUCAGCAAGAGUCUCGCCCCGAAUUCCUUCUUACACGAGAUCCAAGAAUACUCUCUUGAGGUUUGGAUCAAGACCCCUUUCUGGUAACAGUUUGACCCAGGAGCAUGGAGCCACCUGAAGGACCCUUGGAAAUGUAGUCCUGAUGGGUGACCCACAGGACUGAGUCUCACUGGAGAAAACAAAUCUGUGUAGAGACCACAAGAGCCACCCAAGCGCCUGCAGUAAAGCAAUUUUAGAAACAUAGAGAAGGGCCCAAGAGAAGUGGGAUCAAACCAGGUCUCUGGGCAUUUCUGCCCCUUCCAGAUGCCAUAGAAAAAAAUGCCAUUGUCUGUAUGUGUGUGGGGAGUGUGGGUGGAGUGAAGUCUGGAGCUGCCAGGCGGCCAAUGUCUGGCAAGGUUGUACAGGUGAUUUGUGGAGCCAAUGGGUGGGAGCCCCACACUCUGGGCCCGUGGAGAGCAGCUUUUAUUAGAAACCUUCCAUUUUUCUGGCAUUUCCCUAAUGUAGCCAAGCCACUCUUGGCGCGCGCGCACACACACACACACACACACACGCACACUUCUAGAUGUCCUUAGCCCCAGAGUGGAUUUGAUUUGAGGUAGGAUAGUAGAGUGUUGGAGAAAGGGCACAGGGCUAGGAGACACAAACGUGGCUCGAAUAAGUCAGCCCCCGUCUCUGGGCCUCGGUUUCCUCAUCAGCAAAGCACACAGGGUGACUCAUGAGCUCUUAGACCCGGCUGAGCCACAGGAUGUCAGAUCCUAUGAUUCUCCGAUUGGCUCUUAAGGGGCAAGGGAACUGUCAGCCCUGGACGGAGGAGUCGCUCUCAGACGCCAGCUAAGGCAGCUGAGGGGACGCCCGGCUGAAGCUGUCGGAGCCCCAUCCCCUUCUGGGGCCCCCAGGUUGCCUACUCUCAAGUGCCCGCGCCCCAGUGAGCGAGU
rnacentral:lncRNA from 1 species